CCCUUAGAUGUUCUGGGCCGCACGCGCGCUACACUGAUGCAUUCAACGAGCCUAUCCUUGACCGACAGGUCCGGGUAAUCUUUGAAUCUGCAUCGUGACGGGGAUAGAUUAUUGCAAUUAUUAAUCUUCAACGAGGAAUGCCUAGUAGGCGCAAGUCAUCAGCUUGCGUCGAUUACGUCCCUGUCCUUUGUACACACCGCCCGUCGCUCCUACCGAUUGGGUGUGCUGGUGAAAUGUUCGGAUCGGCCGUUUGUCGCGGUUUCCGCGGCUCGUGGCUGAGAAGUUCAUUAAACCCUCCCACCUAGAGGAAGGAGAAGUCGUAACA
rnacentral:rRNA from 1 species